rnacentral:tRNA from 1 species
GUCUCAAUCUCAGUGGUUAGAGCACUGACAUUGUAAGCCAGGGGCCCUGGGUUCGAGUCCCAUUUGAGACU